AGUGAACGCUGGCGGUGGGCCUAACACAUGCAAGUCGAACGGAAGCACAGUAAGAGCGUGCUCUUACGGGUGGCGAGAGGCGGAAGGGAGAGGAAUGCAACGGACUCUACUUUUUCGGGGGGGUUAAGGAAGGGGAACUUAAGACAGUACAGGAUACGACCUAGGGGGGAAAGCGGGGGAAAGUCGCGCCUGGCGCGAAUGAAUGAGCGGCUGACGGGUUGGCUGGUUGGCGGGGUAAUGACCAACCAAGGCGACGAUCCGUAGCCGGUCUGAGUGGAUGGUCGGCCACAUGGGAACUUAGACACGGUCCAGACUCCUACGGGAGGCAGCAGUGUGGUAUAUUGGGCAAUGGGCGCAAGUCUUGUCCAGCCAUACCGCGUGGGUUGAGAAGGCCUUCGGGUUGUAAAGCCCUUUUGUUGGUAAAGAAAAGCAUCAGGUUAAUACCCCGCUGUUCUGACGGUACCCAAUGAAUAAGCACCGGCUAACUUCGUG
rnacentral:rRNA from 1 species